UCGGCCGCGGCCGCCUCGGCGGCUUUACCCCAGCCUCGCCACCCCUGCUCGGCGGUACCGGUUCCCCAGGCGCCCUGGACGCCUGUCUCCUCCCCUUCCUCCUCCUCCCCUUUAGCCUCCUGCCUUAAUAGCGGCUGCGCCUGCGAGGGGGGUCCGGAUGCCCGGUGCUCCGGGGUCACGGGCCCCAGACAGCUCUCCGGGGUCAGCGGGUCAUGGGCGCCGGCGGGCGGCGGCAGCGGCAGGGACAUGAGGAUGAGGUCAUGGGAAUAAAGAGGACAGGAAAAGGAGACAAAAUGGAGCAGCCAGAACAGUAGGAGGAGCACAAUUUUGAGCCGAACUGUGGAACCCCCUGAGGAUGCUGCCGCCUGCCAACUUUCUUGGACUGUGGACCUGAGGGCAUAACAUAUUGAAGAAACCCAGCAAUUUCUAACUGGCUAUCAUCACUUCAGAGAAUUUCCGAAGGCAAGAUCUGAUAAGAAUCCUCAAGAUUUGCCAUCUGAAUUUAAGGUAGGUAGGUCUCUCCUUCACCUGUUCAUUCAAUGGGUCUAAGCUAGAACUCCAACCCACUUUCCCCAAAUUUCCCUAUUACUUACAGAGCAGCCGUCUACAAGAACAGUGUAGGUGAACCUGCUGUUGCCCUCGGCAACCAGUUCAACAUCAUUGGAGCCUUGCAGAAUGACAGCCUUCUUCAGGUUGCCAGUCUCCUCAUCCAGGUAGGCAAUGCUGUUCUUGCAGUGGUAGGUGAUGUUUUGAGAGGCAUGGUUGGCCAGCAGGCGCAUGAAGGCGAGUUGAGUGGCCAUUUCCUUGGUGGUCACUCCUUCAGCAUUAUAUUCAAACUACAGAGAAUAAGGUAGAAACGCUAGUUAAGUGGAGAGGGACUGAAAUACUAAGUCAAAAAAGAGGGGGGCGGGGAAAGGCUGACUUAGGGAGGAAUGAUGGACUCAGAUCUGAACCUUGGGGAAAAAGGUACUUUUACAGGAAACUCAAUUCACUUGUCUGUGCAAUAUUAGUUACCUAGAAGGUACCUAGGAACUACCAGGCUGAGGCAAGAUCAUCUCAACUCAAAAAGGUACCUGUUUUAGAUAAGCCUUUUAGGAUAAGAGAGCAAGGAGACAGGGUCACACCUCUUUCUUUUUCUGUGAUUCCCCCCAGUAGGCAUUCAAUAAAGUUGGUGAAGAGAUUUGAUUAAAAAUUCAGAAAAGCACAUGUCCUGAGAAUACAUAUGCAUGGACACAGGGCUAGGUGCUGGCCAGCAUGUCCUCAUGCUAAAGGGCAUUAGUUUCUCCAGUGAUUAUCAGUUAAGUCAGAUUUGAAUAAUAACUUUAGAUGGUAUGGAUAUGUCCAAUCACUCCAGCUUUAAUAUGCAGUCCAGGAUAGAACGGAAACCCGAGAAAAGAGGUUCUUUUUAAUAAUCCCAUUUUGGUAAAGGAUUAAAAUGCAGAUCAUUGAAAAGCAAACUAUCUUAAUAUUAUUUAGUAGGAGAAGGGAUGUUUGUAGGAUUCCUCACCUGGGUACCACCAUUGAUAGUUUCUCCUAACCAGAUGUGCUUCUUGACCUUGGAAUUUCUGUACCAGUUCUUGGCUGGGAUGUUUUCAGGUUGAGCCCGGAUGCAGGUUUCGCCAGUAGAGAAAUCACAGUAUACUUUGAUAGCAUCCAUAGUGCAUCCUUGGUUAGGGUCAAUCCAGUAGUAACCUUUAAAAAAAGAAACAAGACCCAGCUCAUAAAACCUCUCCUUGAGUGGAGCAUAGGUUCUAAUAAUUACUAGACAAAGAUUUUUGAUUCCCAUAAGUAACAUUGUCUACCCCACAUUUAAUAGGAAGAGGAUGGCUAUUUUUAAGAUGAGACAGUUCCUCCUCUCUUGUCCUUCAUGAAAAAAAUCAAAUCAGAGAAUAUGUAUUUUUGCCUUUUUCGUGGUAAUAUAUAGAGAGGCCUGAGACUGGGUGCUGGCUGGGAGAAGAAAAUGCUUUAUUAGUUAGGUAUGAUUCCACAUAAUGCAAUUUUUACCCCAAACUUUUUCAUUCUAAAUGUCCAUGGGAAUGGACUUUACAAAGCCCAGCUCAUGAGAAGGGCCGGUCCGGCUUUGACAUCCUGACUUACCGCUGCUCCACUCUGGGUGGCUGAGUCUCAAGUCACGGCAUGUGCGAGCUGGGUUCUUCCUAGAGCCUUCAGGAGUAAGAAGGGUCUCGAUCUGGUUGUUGAGGGAUUUCAGAGUAGCAUCAACUUCAUAAUCCUUGGGUCUGAGAGAAGGUGGUGAGCGAGGCUGGUCAGCCCUGUAGAAGUCCCCUUCGUAACCAAAGUCAUAGCCACCACCACUCGGGCCGGGAGGGCCAGGAGGACCAGGCGGACCGGGAGGGCCCUGCAAAGGUGAGAGCGAGAAAGAGGAGGUUUCAUAUUUGGUCACAGUGAGAGAUGUCAAUGACAGCAGAUUUUCAGUUGAGUGUUACAGGCACGUUCUAAUAAGUAAAAGAGAAUAACUUGAUCCCAGGCAUGCUGGUGGGGAUGGGCUGAAACAGCUCCUUCCAUACCAUCUUUAUACGGUUUAGAGCUAACAUAUGGAAGUGGGGAGCUCCUUGAGUGUGUUGUCACAGCCAUCUUGGGUUCGUCUGAGCAGAACGUUAUUUCCCGGAACGAUACUUACAGCAGGACCUUGGCUCCCCUGAGAGCCACGGACGCCAGCAGGGCCGACUGUACCGGGAUGUCCAGUGCGACCGUCCUUGCCAGCAGGGCCGGAAGGACCAGCAGGGCCCUGGCGAAGGAGGACACCAAGUGUGAGGGAGUCCGUAAAAAAAAAAAAAACAAGGAAGGAGGGGCCUGGGGCUCCCUCCCUGCCAUAAGCUCUCAUUUCAGAGACCAAGGUCUCCUGGGUUGACCUACCCUAGGACCGGCAGGCCCCACAGAACCAGGUGCACCUUGAUCGCCAUGUUGACCCUUGAAAGAGAGGACAGGAAAAUCACACUUUCAGAACACGUGUCAACAAACAGUUUUUUUUUUUUAAUUGAAUGGAAAACUUUAGUUUCAAUGGACUCUGGAUUGAGAAAAUUGAAAAUGUAAAAUGGGGCUCUUUUCUCCCAUUAUGUCUAUUAUAUUCAAUUACAUUUUUUUCUACAAGCUAUUUCAGCAGUGUAAUAUUAGUCAUUCCUCUAAUUAUAUUUAUUUUAAGUGGGGUUGAAGGACAUUGUUGCCAGGAGAUUUUAAUAUAUGUAUAUUCCGAUCUCCCUUAACCCUCACCUUUUUGUGUUGGGAUGAAAUAGCAUUAUCUCUGCGAGAUGGAGUCAGCCAGAGAAUAGGAAAUGAAUACGAUGUAGUUCAUUUUAGAACAAGAGCAGUGAAAAUUUGAGGAAGAUCAUUUAAGAUCUGUACACAUGCAGAAUGUCCACACUGUACUUACAGCGAGACCAGGAAGACCUUGCAGUCCAUUGUGUCCCUUUAAGCCAGGAAGACCUCUGGGCCCCUUGUCACCAGGCUCUCCCUUAUCACCUCGAACACCUUGUGGGCCCUGUAAAGAAAAAGGAGGACAGACAGGGCAUUUUACCUUCUCACUUCCCCACCAGUAUUGCUUUAUCUGUUUACAGAGCUAACUCAAGACAUGCAAAGGUUUAAACACCACGUGGGUGUUACGCCCAUCUACUCCCCUAAUCUGCUUUCAUUGAACCCUCCGUUAAGUGGCUAGAUUUUGGUGAUUAUUUAAUACAAACAGACAGAAGAGAUUUGAAAUGGAAGAGCCUUAGAAGCUAGAUGUAGCAAUUCUCAGCAUGGACUGAAUUUUUUAAAAAUAUGAAGUCUAGCCUAUAUGUUAUUUAUUUUAUUCAUGGACAGUCUGGACAGAGUUUCCUUAAAUGUUCAUUUGUGAAGAAAUCUUCAUCAUGUACGUACACUAGGACCUCUUGGACCAGCAGCACCAACUGGACCCACAGAACCAGCAGGACCCUGCAAAUUGGAGAAGCAAAACCGAACUCGUCAGCCAAGCCCAAGCCCCUCCCCCACCAAAUCCCCCAGUUCCCGAGUGUGGGGAGGUCAGAGUGAAGCCUCGGAAGAGGACAGCACUAAGGGACUGGUAUUUACGAACUUACGGGUUCACCACGGUUUCCGUGUUUGCCAGUGGGACCCACAGGGCCGUGAGGACCAGGUGCGCCCACAGCGCCAGCAGGACCAAUGUUGCCAGGGUAACCGCGCUCUCCCUACCAAAGGCAAAGUGAAGUUUAGCAUCCACCUGGCCUGGGUUUUAGUCACUUUUAAAUUGGAGAAAGACAAAGAGGUGUGCUGACCUUGUGUCCAGGUUGACCAUCGCGGCCUGGGGGGCCAUCGUUCCCAGGGUUGCCCUGUGAAGAUACCACACCAAUUAAGGCACUUCGUGAGGCUCUUUACCCCGCCAGCCCCUUUAGUUCAGCUCCUCUGUCUUCAUUCCUCCCAGUACUCCACAGUGAACCCCCAGUCAGACCAUCAAACAGGCCAGUUAGAACUUGCCAGCCUAGUUUUCUUAGAGGUGUUUUUAGUAUUUUGGCCAAAUCUGAAGUAUACCAUUUAAAGAGCCAUCCUCCCACCCCCCAGCCCAAGUAAUUUUUCACAUUUUCAAUAGCAGGAGUGGUCAAGACCCAUAGAUAUUAUGGGGAAACAGACCAUCUUGUUCAGAGACUUGGAACAGGAGGAACUCAGCUGAGGACAUGAAGUCACGCACAAUGGACUACAGUUUGCUUCUACAAACCACACGUCAGACUCACAUCACGACCAGCUUCGCCAGGAGCGCCGUUCACUCCCGGUGCACCCACAGCCCCAGGGGGCCCACGAGCCCCAGGUGGGCCAGCGAUGCCGAGAGGUCCGUGUUCACCCUAGACGUGGAGAAGAGGAAACAUUCCUCUCAUUGGAUCGAGUGCAAGUCUCACCCUCCCAACACAACCCCGGCUAGGGGAUUGCAGUUUGAAAAGAGAAAGUGCAGUGGGGGGUGGGGGGGGUGGGUAGGCACGGGCCACAGAACAGCCAGAAGCCCCAUUCGUGUUAUCCUCGCCCUCAUCCUACACACUCGGAUGGCCGGCUUUCUGUAAUUUUGGAACGUCGCUCUGUACUAGGUAAGCCUAGCUGCAUCUGCUGUCCCAAAUGAAAUGAAUUCAUAAAGUUGAGAGAGUUUAUGGAGAUGAGAGGAUUCUUAGGUGCUGUCAUGUAUGAGAUUUAACGGAAUGAUUCAGAACUUCCAGAGUUUCAUUCUGCCUACAGGAUAAAUGAUGCCAGCAUUUCAUAUUGCAGAGGAGUAAAUGCAAUUAGAGCUUAUAUAGUUCUUAAGCAUGUAAAAAGAACAAAAAUCAUUCUGCAUAAUGUUAAGCUGUAUCUUUAUAGCGUGUGUCUAAGUAAGGUGGUAUUAAAGCUUCUUAGAUAAGUGACAUGUGAUCUGUAUAAAGAAAAUGCCAUGAAUAAAAAAUCUUAAGUGGAGUUAUUCAGUGAUCAAUCUGUCACAUCUGAAGUGGCAGCUUUUAAAAUCUUUUAUUAUGUUAAUGAGAAGAAGAAUGGUGUCAAACACUUACCACAGAUCCAGAAACACCUGGUAGACCACGUUCACCUCGAGAGCCUGGGAGACCCAGAAUGCCAGGAGCACCAAGGAGACCUUGAGGACCUGCGGUGCCAGGAGGGCCCUGAACAAGAGGAAAAAUACAUCACUGGUGAGCCGCGAAGUGAUAAUACACGUUGGCUUGAGGAUUGUGAGAAUCCGCUAUCCUCAGUUUAGAAAAAGGCUGGUGACCUCCUAGUAGGAGGACAUAUCCUUGGACAUCUUUUCUCUAGUGAUGACAAGGAGUUGACAGCUUGGCAAGUAUAUUUCUUUGUACCUCCUUGAGACCAAUGGAACAACAGUCAAAAAUAUGUGAUUGAGAUUAAUGAAGACAUCUGGGGUGACACAAGAGAGUUUGUAUAGAAUCUAUGCCAAGAAGCAAAUUUUGACCUUGGCCUCCAGCUGAACCCGGUCUAGGAAAGGCACAUUUCAGAGUAACAUUGACAGACAAUGCAUGUUUAAGAGAUUGGUAGCUUACUGAGAUUGAUUCGUGUACAAUAGGAUGACCAUGGCAAAGGGAUUCUGGUUCUAAUCCCAGGACGAGUGAGGUGCCAUUCUGAUAAAACAGUGAGUUCCUUCAUUUAUUGCCCUCCCCGUCUAGUGCCUUCUAAGCAACUGCAGAAGCCCCGCCACCUCAGUAUGUGCCGGACAGAUUUCCUGGCUCAACUGAGUUCUCUGUGAAAGCCUGCAGUACUCGUUAACAAAUAGAUGCCACUUGAAGAUCUGUGUAAAGGCUUUAUUUUAAUUCAAUACAAGGUAUUACGAGAGAGGAGCUUGCAAUCACUUACAGCGGUACCGGGCUCUCCAGAGGGACCCUUCUCGCCGGUAAAGCCGGGGGGACCAUGUGCACCAGUUUCUCCUGUUCGGCCAACUGGACCUUGGUCACCCCGAGGCCCACGGAGUCCUUCUUUACCAGCAGCGCCAGGGGGACCAGGAGGGCCGGUGAUACCCUGUGAGCCAAUGACAGAGUCAUUUAACCCGUCACAGACCCGGGAGAGAGCAGCUGAGGUUCUAGAGAUGAAGAUGCAAACAGUGUGAAGCAACAAAAUGCUACCCUGGCCACUGGGGGGACCUGUGGGGGCGUCGUCACAUUCCUUGUAGUGGGGAGAGGCAACUCCCUGUCCUCCUUCUCUGGAGCCUGUAAUAAAGUGACUGACUGAGGUCGAAGCUGGGGCUAAUGUCCGUGAGGAGAGGAAAUGCUGUGCUACCAGGCCCCUGGCGUCUUGGGGCCAGGACUCCAGAGAGUGAGAAGAGUCCGUCGUAAAUGAAUGGGACUUGGGGUUUGGGAAGACCCUGCUCAUUUCUUUGUGAAGAUGGCCGACACUGGCAUUUUGUUCAUCAUUGAGGAAUCACAUGUGCGCUCCACUAGGUUUAAUUAAAUGCCUACAGGAAGUGAAGAUUUUUCUGUUAUGAACCUGUAAAAGGGUUCCAAGAAAUCAACAUCUUUGCUGUUUUUUUUUCCCUGAAAUCUUAACCAGAAGACUUAAUCCUUGGUAAUUAAUUAAAUUCUCUUGAGUCCUGACAGGAGAGUCUGAAUCAGAAUUAAAUUAGAGGCCAAACCACCUUUAAAUUCAGGAACAAUUAUACCUGAACAACGGAGGCAGAAUGUUGGCCAUAAAAGGUAAUUAGAUAUAGAAAUAUCUGAUAUGUGACUAAAACUGUUCUGUUUUUUAUUUCUAACAAAGAGACCAUGCCCCUAAAAGGGGACUUGUGUUCACAUGAAUAAAAGCCUCUUAAGCUGA